AAUAACACAACAAUCUAAGGUAGUCCUUCAAUGGAAGGACGCGCAGGUGUAAGUCCGGUGAAAGUCCGGCACAGUCCCGCCUGCUGUAACCGGUAAUAUUACUACCGGGAGUCAGAACCCUGGCCUUAGAUUAAGUGGGCUC
rnacentral:ncRNA from 1 species